GUCCAGGGAUGGGAAUCGAACCCACAGGGUUCCGCUUACCGGGCAGAUGCCAUUUCCACUAGCUACCCUGGA
rnacentral:tRNA from 1 species